UACAUAAUUAGGUCUUUCCACUUUUCUGUGGAAAGACCUAUUGUUUUUCUUCUGAUUAUUAGGUCUUUCCACUUUUCUGUGGAAAGACCUAUUGUUUUUCUUCUGAUUUAUUUUUUUUUUUUUUCUUCCGCCUAAUUUUGUUCUUGCGAUAAACAUUUGUUUCGCAAUAUGUCGCUUAGAUAUUUUGGUAUAUGAUAUAUCGAACAGUUUAUGCGCUUUUGAAAUUUACCCUGCGUAAACGAAUACUUUUCUUUGUAGGAGUUAUCUCCCCAAACACUGUUUUCCUUGUUAGCGCAUCUCCUUCGCAACCGUAAAAUAUUAUGACAAAUUUAUUUUACAAAAUUGCUCGUUAUAUCCUUCGCAUGAUUUGUCCUAUUUUGACCGAAGUGAUAUGAACGCUCCAUAUGAGAGUUAUUUCCCCUUAUGCAUUUGAUAUAAGUGAUAUGCAUUUCUAUCUUGUAAACCAUAAGUGCUAAAGACCAAGGAUCUUUUGAUUUGAGGUCCUUGGUCCAAAAAAAUAAAAAUUAGGUCAAGGUCAAAGGUCAAGGUCAUAUUCCAAUUUUUGAAUUUGGCUUAUUUCCACUAAUUUCCAGAAACUGUAUAAGAUAUAGACAAAUUAUUUUUUCUAAAUUGUUAGUUGCGACAUGUCGUAACACGUAAAUUUUGAUUGCAAGGG
rnacentral:lncRNA from 1 species